UCCCUCCCUUCCUCCUGCCUGUCAUCAUUACCUGCAGGUGCCUCAGGGAAGCAGAAGCUCAGAUCCUAACCUGCCCUCUGCCACCAACCAGGCAGUCUCCUCCCAGCAAGUGCAUCUAGGAGGUCACCCUCAGUUUCUUUCCAGGUAGGAAGAAGAACCAUGCUGGGUCUCCUUGCCAUCCUGUGCACUCUCCUGUUUCCUGGUGGUGGAGCAGGGCUCAAGCUGGAUCAGCCUGCUUUGGUGGUGGCGCGCUUGCGCUUGGACAGCUCAGCCACCCUGCCAUGCAAAGUAGACACCUCGGUCAGCUACGUCCACUGGUACCGCCACCAGGAGGGUACGGCCCCCAAGAGGCUCCUCUACCUAGACAUGUCCAGGUCCUUUGUGAAGAGGGAUUUUCCCAUGAAAGCGGACAAAGUCAAUGCCAAGAAGGGCAGGGAGAGCAACAGCUGUACUCUGUCGGUGCUGAACCUGGAGAAGAGCGACGAGGGCGUGUACUACUGCGCUGCCUGGGAAGUGCACAGCCCUGUGCUCUCACCAGGCUGGAUCAAGAUAUUUGUAGAAGGAACUAAGUUCAUAGUAACUCCUCCUGAUACAAGUCCUGAUGAAGACAUUUCCCCCAAGCCCACAAUUUUUCUUCCUUCAGUUGCUGAAAUAAAAAUCCAUAAGGCUGGAACAUACCUUUGUCUUCUUGAGGAUUUUUUCCCUGACAUUAUUGAGAUAGAUUGGCAAGAAAAGGAUGGCAAAACAAUUCUGAAAUCCCAGCAGGGAGACACUAUGAAGAAGACUAAGGACACAUACAUGAAAUUCAGCUGGCUGACUGUGACUGAAGCGUCAAUGGAUAAAGAACACAAAUGUAUCGUCAACCACGAAAGUGAUAAAACAAAGGUUCAUCAAGAGAUUCUUUUUCCUUCAAUAAACAAAGAUUUGAUGGCAGAGAUGGAAUCCAAAGUGGACUCCCAGGGACAUUCAGAGACAGAACAAAACACAGAGGUGGUAACUGUGAACCCUUUGAGUUCACAAUCCUUCUCACCUGCUCCAGGGGCUGUGGAGCUUGCUGUUAUUAACUCCACAAAAUAUUCUCUGAAUGAUGAAAACAACACCCUGCGGCUGCAACUCAUGAACACCUCUGCCUAUUACACCUACCUCCUCCUCCUUGUGAAGAGCCUGGUCUACUCCACCAUCAUCGCCAUCUGUCUGCUUGGGAGACCAGCAUUCUAUGGCAAUGGAAAGAGUUCCUAACACAUGGUGGCACCAAAGUCCCACUUUUUCCCAUUGGCUAUUGUCCCUAAAAGUGUCUGCUAGUGAUCUAGUGUGGCUCCUUUCUGAGAUUGGGUUAUUUCAGUUCACACGUGUCUUUUUCUCUUGUGUCAUUACUGAAGACUGGGUUUACAAACCGCUGGGCAAACAGAAACUUUCACUCUGCAACAAGAACAAAUGUGGCCAUCACUCUGGGGCCUGGACAGAGGGCCAUCCACAGGGGCUUCAGCACCACCCUCUCAUUAUUGUUCACCAGCUCCUCAGCCACCCAGUCCCCACGCCCCUUGGUAUAGCCACCAUACAGGUUACAUCUGUAUCUCUUGGACUCUUUAACCAGAUAACUGCCUCAAAGCCUUUUAUUUUACAUACCUGGAAGCCACCAUCCUUGUUACCUGAAGUUUGUAGUGUUUUUCAUAAUAGGCACAAUAAAAGCAAUCAAAAGUCUAA